CAUAGCAACAACAGGUAAGUUUGUAAGAAUCGAAAGAAACCUGCAAGAUCGAGUUGAAGAAAACCAUCUCCUGAAGGACAAAGAUGUCGGGGAAGAAGGAUUCUAGAUUCAGGGUCAAGGAGUAAACCUGCCCGUAAACCAGGGACAGCACAGGGCUCCAGAUGGAGGCUGGACACCAAGGCGUUUGGAAUGGACCGAAGUUCACCCUGUCCCUAGUCUGAGACCUCCUGUCCAGAACUUGCUCCUCCAGCUCCGUGAGGACUGUCCUGUGAGGCCCACGGAUGAAACUGAGACGUCAAGACCUGGUCAGGGACGUGUUUUCUUGCCUGAGAGAGAGCAAGGAAAGCUCCCUCCAGGGGCCGCGCAUUGUCAGCGGCCAGUUGAGAGCCUGGCCUCCUUCAGAGCUUGCCCCUGUUCUUUGCAGCCAAGGCCAACCUCAUCCACACAUUUGUUCUCCUUCAACAAAGGCUUACUGAGCUCCUGUAAAAUGGCAGACUCUUCUGCGACCUUUCAUCCAGCUGACUCAUCCUAAGCUUAAAUUCCACUUGCCCUGGUAGCUCUUCUGUGACCCCUACACUUGGUUGGAACCACCCUGCCCCCCUCCCCACCGCCCGUGUUCUUAACAUCCCACAUUUCUCCUACUUCUUGUAGCUGCUUAACUUUUGGGCUCCCCUGCUUGACUCUUGACAUUAUGAGGGCAAAGGGCCUGAUGCCUUAAUCACUCCUCUCGCACGGUGUCUGGCAUGCCAGGAUACCUUUGAUGAAGUUAUUUUAACCUCGAUAAGCUCCAGCUAGAAACACGGGAGUGAGAUCACCUAGAUGCAAUCCCUGCCCCCUUUUACAAACCUGGGUGGGAGGAGAUGCAAAGAGAGGUUAGAGCAUCUGGCAAGUGGCAGAGGUAAAAUCAGAACGCAGACAGUCUGACUCCAGAUCCUCAUUCUCCACCCCUUUGUGAUGCUCUCUCUCAAAGAUGCUCUUUGCAGGUAAUGCCAUGGUUCAGCUGCUCUUUCUACCCCAGUUUAGAAACCGUGUAGGACUGCUGCCAGAAAUUUUGUGUUUCCCUUUUGUGGUCUGUUUAGGAUGUUAGCAGCCACAUUUCGGAGCUGUCGGUGUGGGCAUAAAACCUACUUUGUAAGGUUGUUAUAAGGAUCACAGAAGGUCUUUUGAAGACCCUUAUGAAGUGCAGAGGGGGAUAAAGUUUUGAGGGUACUGUCUUAAGUAAUGAGGAUGAGUGUCCCGUGGCUGGCACGGCGGCGCCCAUGUAGUAAAUCCUCAACAGUGGUAACUGUCUUCUGCUUUGAACCACAUCGCUUUAGUGUUCUGGAAUCCUCCUUCCUCUCAUGAGUUAAUAAAAACAUCUACAGGGAAUGCA
rnacentral:lncRNA from 12 species